rnacentral:rRNA from 1 species
UGGGGAAUAUUGCACAAUGGGCGGAAGCCUGAUGCAGCAACGCCGCGUGCGGGAUGACGGCCUUCGGGUUGUAAACCGCUUUCGCCUGUGACGAAGCGUGAGUGACGGUAAUGGGUAAAGAAGCACCGGCUAACUACGUGCCAGCAGCCGCGGUGAUACGUAGGGUGCGAGCGUUGUCCGGAUUUAUUGGGCGUAAAGGGCUCGUAGGUGGUUGAUCGCGUCGGAAGUGUAAUCUUGGGGCUUAACCCUGAGCGUGCUUUCGAUACGGGUUGACUUGAGGAAGGUAGGGGAGAAUGGAAUUCCUGGUGGAGCGGUGGAAUGCGCAGAUAUCAGGAGGAACACCAGUGGUGAAGGCGGUUCUCUGGGCCUUUCCUGACGCUGAGGAGCGAAAGCGUGGGGAGCGAACA